CAGUAGCCACGGUAAUACGAAGGGUGCAAGCGUUACUCGGAAUUACUGGGCGUAAAGCGUGCGUAGGUGGUGGUUUAAGUCCGUUGUGAAAGCCCCGGGCUCAACCUGGGAAUGGCAAUGGAUACUGGCAAGCUAGAGUGUGUCAGAGGAUGGUGGAAUUCCCGGUGUAGCGGUGAAAUGCGUAGAGAUCGGGAGGAACAUCAGUGGCGAAGGCGGCCAUCUGGGACAACACUGACGCUGAGGCACGAAAGCGUGGGGAGCAAACAGGAUUAGAUACCCCUGUAGUCCCUGUCUCUUAUAC
rnacentral:rRNA from 1 species